GACGUAGGGCGCGAGCGUUGUCCGGAUUUAUUGGGCGUAAAGAGCUCGUAGGCGGCUUGUUGCGUCGACUGUGAAAACCCGGGGCUCAACUUCGGGCUUGCGGUCGAUACGGGCGGGCUAGAGUUCGGUAGGGGAGAGUGGAAUUCCUGGUGUAGCGGUGAAAUGCGCAGAUAUCAGGAGGAACACCGGUGGCGAAGGCGGGUCUCUGGGCCGAUACUGACGCUGAGGAGCGAAAGCGUGGGGAGCGAACAGG
rnacentral:rRNA from 1 species